rnacentral:rRNA from 1 species
GAUGAACGCUAGCGGGAGGCUUAAUACAUGCAAGUCGAGCGGCAAGUUUUGAUAGCAAUAUUGGAACCUAGAGCGGCGCACGGGUGAGUAACGCGUACAUGACCUGCCCUAUACUGGGGGAUAGUCUUGGGAAACUGAGAAUAAUCCCGCAUGUGAUUAGAAUGCUGCAUGGCAAAUUAAUUAAAGCUGAGGCGGUAUAGGAUGGGUGUGCGUCUGAUUAGCUAGUUGGUAGUGUAACGGACUACCAAGGCGAUGAUCAGUAGGGGCGUGAGAGCGUGACCCCCCAACGGGUACUGAGACACGGACCCGACUCCUACGGGAGGCAGCAGUAAGGAAUAUUGGUCAAUGGAGGGAACUCUGAACCAGCCAUCCCGCGUGAAGGAUGAAGGGGCUCUGCCUUGUAAACUUCUUUUGCAUGGGACGAAAAACUUAUUUAUUAAGGACUGACGGUACCAUGAGAAUAAGCACCGGCUAACUCCGUGCCAGCAGCCG